UACGUAGGCAGCGAGCGUUGUUCGGAGUUACUGGGCGUAAAGAGUGCGUAGGCGGUUUCGUAAGUUUGGUGUGAAAUCUUCCGGCUUAACUGGGAGGGUGCGCCGAAAACUGCGGGGCUUGAGAGUGGGAGAGGUAAGCGGAAUUCCUGGUGUAGCGGUGAAAUGCGUAGAUAUCAGGAGGAACACCAGCGGUGUAGACGGCUUACUGGACCACGACUGACGCUGAGGCACGAAAGCGUGGGGAGCAAACAGG
rnacentral:rRNA from 1 species